rnacentral:rRNA from 1 species
AAUUUCACACAGGAAACAGCUAUGACCAUGAUUACGCCAAGCUAUUUAGGUGACACUAUAGAAUACUCAAGCUAUGCAUCCAACGCGUUGGGAGCUCUCCCAUAUGGUCGACCUGCAGGCGGCCGCGAAUUCACUAGUGAUUGUAUUACCGCGGCUGCUGGCACGGAGUUAGCCGGUGCUUCUUCUAAAGGUAAUGUCAGAGCUUGCCGCUAUUAACGACAAACUUUUCUUCCCAAUUGAAAGUGCUUUACAACCCUAAGGCCUUCUUCACACACGCGGCAUGGCUGCGUCAGGCUUUCGCCCAUUGCGCAAUAUUCCCCACUGCUGCCUCCCGUAGGAGUCUGGACCGUGUCUCAGUUCCAGUGUGGCUGAUCAUCCUCUCAGACCAGCUAAGGAUCGUCGCCUUGGUGGGCCUUUACCCCACCAACUAGCUAAUCCUACGCAGGCUCAUCCGAUAGCGCGAGGCCCGAAGGUCCCCCGCUUUCCCCCUUAGGGCGUAUGCGGUAUUAGCUUGAGUUUCCCCAAGUUGUCCCCCACUACCAGGUAGAUUCCUACGCGUUACUCACCCGUCCGCCGCUCUACUCAGCCCGAAAGCUUUUCGCGCUCGACUUGCAUGUGUUAGGCCUGCCGCCAGCGUUCAAUCUGAGCCAGGAUCAAACUCU